UGAGGGGAAGCCGGAGCGAAAGCGAGUCUGAACAGGGCGUUCAGUCGCAUGCCGUAGACCCGAAGCCGAGUGAGCUAUCCAUGGGCAGUGUGAAGCGGAGGUACGACUCUGUGGAGGCGCGAGCCGACUUCAGUUGAAAAUGGAGCGGAUGACCUGUGGAUAGGGGUGAAAGGCCGAUCAAACUCGGUGAUAGCUGGUUCUCCGCGAAAUGCAUUUAGGUGCAGCGUCGUGCGUUCAACGAUGGGGGUAGAGCACUGAAUGGGCUAGGGGUCCUACAAGACUACCGACCCCAAUCAAACUCCGAAUACCAUCGUUCCAGAGCACGGCAGUGAGACCUCGGGGGAUGAGCUUCGAGGUCGAGAGGGAAACAGCCCAGACCGCCGGCUAAGGUCCCAAAAUCUGAACUAAGUGGUAAACGAUGUGAGAUUGCGAAGACAGCCAGGAGGUUGGCUUGGAAGCAGCCAUCCUUGAAAGAGUGCGUAACAGCUCACUGGUCGAGUGAUCUUGCGCGGACAAUGUAACGGGGCUCAAGUUCAGUACCGAAGCCGCGGAUGCGACUCUUUGAGUCGUGUGGUAGCGGAGCGUCGAGCGUGCAGCGAAGCGGCGGGACAACCCAGCCGUGGAGCGCGUUCGAGUGCGAAUGUUGGCAUGAGUAGCGAAUGAGGGGUGAGAACCCCCUCCGCCGUAUGUCCAAGGGUUCCUGGGCGAGGCCAAUCCUCCCAGGGUGAGUCGGGAGCUAAGGCGAGGCCGAGAGGCGUAGUCGAUGCACAACUGGUUGAUAUUCCAGUACCACCAUGUUCGCGUCCGUCCCAAUACUCUGUUGCUAAGGGGCUGUGUUGACUUCGGUCAACGCGAACCGACCCACAUUGUUGCGGGAAGCUGUAGGGGGACGCAGGAAGGUAGAUGAACCCGGUGAAUGGUAGAACCGGGGUAAGCGUGUAGGAGGAGGACCAGGUAAAUCCGGGCCUCAUAAACUCUGAGACGUGAUACCGAGCCGCUUCAGGCGAAGUCAUUGAUCCUAUGCUGCCUAGGAAAGCCCAGCAGCGAGUUGACAUGGUGCCCGUACCCCAAACCAACACAGGUGGACAGGUAGAGCAUACCAAGGCGAGUGGGAUAACUAUGGUUAAGGAACUCGGCAAAUUGCCUCCGUAACUUCGGGAGAAGGAGGACCCCAGUAGCGUGAUGAGACUUGCUCUCUGAGCGUGAAGGGGUGGCACAAAAUUGAGGGAAGCGACUGUUUACCAAAAACACAGCAGCGUGCUAAGCCGUAAGGCGCUGUAUACGCUGUGACUCCUGCCCGGUGCUAGAAGGUUACGGGGAUGGGUUAGUCCUUCGGGACGAAGCUCUGAACCUAAGCCCCAGUAAACGGCGGCCGUAACUAUAACGGUCCUAAGGUAGCGAAAUUCCUUGUCGGGUAAGUUCCGACCUGCACGAAUGGAGUAACGACUUCCCUACUGUCUCAACCAUAGACCCAGCGAAAUUGAAGUACGAGUAAAGAUGCUCGUUAGCUGCAGAAGGACGGAAAGACCCCGUGGACCUUUACUAUAACUUGAUGUUGUGUUUUGAC
rnacentral:rRNA from 1 species